rnacentral:rRNA from 1 species
UACGUAGGGGGCAAGCGUUGUCCGGAUUUAUUUGGGCGUAAAGAGCGUGUAGGCGGCCAGGUAGGUCUGACUCGGUGAAACUCGAGGUCUUAACCUCGAGCUGUCGGCGGAAACCAUCUGGCUAGAGUCCGGAAGAGGAGAUGAAUUCCGGUGUAGCGGUGAAAUGCGCUAGAUAUCGGGAAGAACACCCGUGGCGAAGGCGACUACC